AGUGAACGCUGGCGGCAGGCCUAACACAUGCAAGUCGAGCGGAUGAAAGGGGCUUGCUCCUGGAUUCAGCGGCGGACGGGUGAGUAAUACGCAGGAAUCUACCUAGUAGUGGGGGAUGACGUUUCGAAAGGGACGCUAAUACCGCAUACGUUCUGAGGAAGAAAGCAGGGGAUCGUAAGACCUUGCGCUAUUAGAUGAGCUUGCGUCCGAUUAGCUAGUUGGUGGGGUAAAGGCCUACCAAGGCGACGAUCGGUAACUGGUCUGAGAGGAUGAUCAGUCACACUGGAACUGAGACACGGUCCAGACUCCUACGGGAGGCAGCAGUGGGGAAUAUUGGACAAUGGGGGCAACCCUGAUCCAGCCAUGCCGCGUGUGUGAAGAAGGCCUCGGUUGUAA
rnacentral:rRNA from 1 species